rnacentral:lncRNA from 1 species
GGCAACCAGACGUGGCAGGGAUGGCUCCAGAGUGAGGGACAGGGACACUGCCAUUAAGCGGGUGGAGAGGCAGGUGGAGGUGAGCACGAGGUCCCAUUGAAGGCAAGAUGGCUAUGGACAAACAUCUCCUUCCAGGUCCUCCUGACAGUCCCAGUGAACCAGAAGCAAGGCCACCUGCUCUACCCGGCUGCGGUGGCCUGUGUUCAACACUGCUGCAGGGAGGCAUGGCCUCCGUGCCAGUAAACCAGGAACCCACGACUGUACCCAUGAGAAGGCCCCCCGGGCUGUUACCCUGGACCCUCAGGGUGAGACCAUGGAGAAUGUUCAGCUCACUUCCCCUUGUUCCUGGUGUCACACUCAAGGCCCUCAGAACUUCGAGGGAAUGACAUCGAGGAAGAAUCACUUCCCGACACUUCUGCAUUUGAUUUGAAGAGUUGUGUUGUGAUCUUCUCAGGUGUUUUUUAAAACCAAGUUCUCACUUCUCAUAUGACCCAUCGGUCAUAUUAAGAAACAAGACUGCUUAUUGCAUAUAAUUCCAAGACAACCCAAAAUCAAUGCACAGAGGCUGCAGCUGCCAUAAAUAUGAGACUUACGCAUAAGGUCUUCGAAGACUUGCGGGAUUGCUCUUGGGAAGGAGGGUGUGUUUAGGUUGGCUUUUCAAAGAUGGUACAUCACCUCUGCUCACAUCUUGAAAACAGAAAUUUAGUGGAGAACCUGGUUGCUACUUGAUACAAGAGUGUGAAUGUCACAGCAUCACCAAUCGAUAUUAUUAACAAAAAUAUUUAACCUGAAUCUGAGGCCUAACUUCCUGUUCCCAAUAUAUACCAAAUAUGAAGGAACAAGUUAAAUGCUUCUGGGUUCCAAUAAUUGGACAAGUUGAGACUGUGGGGAGGACUGGCAGAAACCAUGGCUGGCUACACAGCAGCUGCCUCCUGCACACUUGUUCCUUGUCUGAAUCUCUGUAGAGCAACUGAGAAGGCUGAGACCCAAUUCCCCAGCCUCCUUUGCAGCUAAGGGUGCUGUUUUAGUCAGUUUUUUUCACUGCUGUGACUAAAGGAUCUAACCAGAACAAGUGUAGUGGAGGAAAAGUUUAUUUGCGGGCUCGCAGUUUUAGAAGUCCAUAUAAGGCUGGCUCCAUUUCUCAAGGCUCUAAAUGAAGCUAAACAUCAUGGCUGGAGAGUGUGGCACAGGGAAGCAGCUCACAUCAUGGUGAUCAAGAAGCAGAGAGUCCAAUGUCCUCCGAUGAUCCCAGCAUCGAUCAAGAACCAUUCAAGAAGAAUCAAACUUGCAUAGGUGCUUGCUUUCUUGUUCCAACUUUUAGUCCAUCCAAGCCAUCAUCCUAUUGGUCAGUGCUGCCCACACUUAGGGAGGGUCUCCCUUUCAAUUGGCUAUCCCACGUGCCAAACAUUCCUAGACACACCCUCAUUGACACACCCAUAAGCCUCUUAAUCCUUGGUAUCUCUUAAUCCGAUCAAGUUGACAAUUCAAAUUAACCAUUACAAGUGCUGAAGAGAUCCACUUUUAGGAGAAAACCCUCUCGAUGGUGCCUCAGGAAGAUUUUCCUUCUUUUCUCUUUCCUCCCCUAUCUGAAAAAUAAAAUACGGUUGUCACAAUUAAUUGAAUGGCCCUCUAAAACUGUAACUUGCCUUUUGAGGUGUGCAAAUUAAUUUUUGAAUACUUGAUCAACAAACAUACAGGCGGAUCCUCUGUGAGGUGCGAGUGUUCAAAACUUUUCUAAAA